AAAAUACGAAAAGUAAUAUGAAUUGCAGAAACGAAUCAUCGAAUCUUUGAACGCACAUUGCGCCCCUUGGUAUUCCAUGGGGCAUGCCUGUUCGAGCGUCAUUUGUACCCUCAAGCUCUGCUUGGUGUUGGGUGUUUGUCCCCGUCUCCGCGCGUGGACUCGCCCCAAAGUGAUUGGCAGCCGGCGUACUGGUCCCGGAGCGCAGCACAUGUCGCGCAAACGAGUGCCUUGGUACGGCGGCGUCCAUAAGCCCCUCUCUCACGCUCUUGACCUCGGAUCAGGUAGGGAUACCCGCUGAACUUAAGC
rnacentral:misc_RNA from 1 species